AACGAACGCUGGCGGCAGGCCUAACACAUGCAAGUCGAGCGCACCUUCGGGUGAGCGGCGGACGGGUGAGUAUCGCGUGGGAACGUGCCCUUCUCUACGGAAUAGUCCUGGGAAACUGGGGGUAAUACCGUAUACGCCCUUUGGGGGAAAGAUUUAUCGGAGAAGGAUCGCCCCGCGUUGGAUUAGGUAGUUGGUGGGGUAAUGGCUCACCAAGCCGACGAUCCAUAGCUGGUUUGAGAGGAUGAUCAGCCACACUGGGACUGAGACACGGCCCAGACUCCUACGGGAGGCAGCAGUGGGGAAUCUUAGACAAUGGGGGCAACCCUGAUCUAGCCAUGCCGCGUGAGUGAUGAAGGCCUUAGGGUUGUAAAGCUCUUUCAAGCUGUGAAAGAUAAUGAACGGUAGCAAGCAGAAAGA
rnacentral:rRNA from 1 species